rnacentral:tRNA from 1 species
GCUCCCGUAGCUCAGUGGACCAGAGCACGCGCCUUCGAAGCGAGAGGUCGCACGUUCAAAUCGUGCCGGGAGCUCCA